AAGGAGAAGUAAAGCUUCAAUGUGAAUGAGAUUUGCUCUAAAUAUAAAUGCUGAGAGGAAAGGUCAUUGAAAACAGGAGGGAUGAAAAGAAGUCAGAAAGCAGAUCAGCAACGCCAAAGACAUGGUCCUGGAUUACUACUAAAGCCCAAAGUAGAUCAAGGAAAUGAAGGAACAUGAGAUGUACACAGGAACCACAAUCAUAUAAGGCAAAACUUGCCAUGUUUGGAGUGAGCAGAGCUGGAAGGCCGUACAAAUA
rnacentral:lncRNA from 1 species